UUCCAGUAUGUGUACAACAACUGUAUUAAAAGCAAGGAAGAAUCAGAAGUCGGUACCUUGUGCUCGGAGUUGGACUAGCUCCUCACCAAGGGAAUCAACAGACUCCUCCAGCUGCCUCUUCUUUUGUUCUACAUUCUGAAGGGUCUCUCUGUGUGGCCCUGGCUGAUAUAGACAAUCUUAUAAGAAGUGCAGCAGAUAUUCAGGAGACAAUCACUUUUAAUACCAUCUAAGUUUUCUCACAUUAUAGAAUAGUACGUUGUAUACUUGCUCUUGAGAUGUGCUUGACUGGAACACACGAUCAAAGGCAUAAGGCUUGGACUAAAAAAAUGAAAACAGAAGAGUUUCACAAAUUACAGGGUGGGGUAGAAGUUGGGCUGCACAUGUAGAGGUCAGAGGACAACUUUCGGAAGUCAACUCUCUGCUGCUACAGUGUAAGUUCUGGGGAUUAAACUUUUAAAGGAGAUUUUAGGUUUUUUAGAGAGAUUAGAUAUUUAUUUAAAGAGACUGAAAUUUUAAUGCGUUUUAAUUUGUAAAGACUGUAGAACUUUUAAAGUCAUUUGCCUUUAAUAUGAGAUCUUGGGCACAAAUAAGAAGGACAGUUAUGGUUUAAUACG
rnacentral:lncRNA from 1 species